rnacentral:lncRNA from 1 species
CAAAAUCCGGCUAUUGUAUCAAAUACAUAUUCAUGAAACCAAAGCAAGUGCACUACUAAAGUCUGUGCCAUUAAAAAUGUUUGUGUGUGCGCACACGUGCACGCCUGCUUUUCUGUGUGUAUGCCAUGUGUGUGCAGUGCAGUGCUGUUGCACUCCAGAAGAAGGUGCGGGAUCCCCUGGCGCUGGGUUACACAUGGCUGUGUGCAGCUCCAUGUGCUCUUGCUCCGACCUGCUGAGCUGCCUUUCCAGACCCAUUCUUAUGGAGAUAGUUAAUUUUUAGCAUCUCUAAAAAUUAAGAGAUACUUCAGAUUUGGGAAGGGCUAUUGUCAUUUAGAAAGUAGUAUGCAUUUAAUGAGCGCUGAAGAAUCUUUUAAAGACAGUGAUGUAGUAUGACUAACAAAGUUUAAUUUUGUGUCAACCUUAGGCCAGAUUAGAGGAUGGGAAAUUGGCUAAAGAAAAUUGUAAUACAUUUGUAGAUAGGGAAAUGAUGAUGCUCAUUUUUAAAAAUGUUAAGAUGUCUCCUAAAAGAAACUAACAGAAUGUAGAGGCUAACAGAAUAAUGAGUAGAAAACAGUUAAAUAAAAGUAAGGUAGUUUAGUUAGUGGGUUUCUGGAAUGAUAGAAAGCUUUGCUGGAGAAUUAGAGGUGAUUUCUAUAGGUAAUUCUUGGAAUUCAAAAUUACAUAGGUCAAGUUUACUUCAUUACUAACAUUAAAAGCUCCCUAAUAUUGCAUCUUAUAUAUUUUUUCUAAUGUAACUCCAGUAGUGAUUCACCUCUGAAGAUAUUGUCAUAAUCCCUUAGAAAUGUUACCACAUGAGUAUUGUUCAGGCUAUAUAGCCUAGACCUCUUGGUGCUUAAUUUUAGGCAAAGGGUCCUCUGAAUAUUGACCUCUGGCUAAUGUCCCCUACUUGGAUAUACUUGGAGGUCUUAGUUGUUUGCAUUUUAUAAGUGAGAAACUUAAUUACGGGGGUUUGGUUUGACUUCAUUUAACAAUACCUUUUUAGUACUUGCUGUGUAUCCAGGUAAUGUUCUGAGACCUUGGACUUUACCUGUGAACAGAAUGGACAGAUAAUUCUGCCUUUGUGGAACUAAUUUCCAGUCUAAAGGAGUUAAACACACAGAUAUAGUUUUAAAAAUAAUGUAUGUUAGAAGAUAAAAAUUUUGAGAGGAAAGUUGAAGAAAAAGAUGACAUUUGAGCAAAGACUUGGAGGAGGUGGGGAUGCAGACUCUGAGGCAGUCUGAACAAAGACUGUAGACUUUAGGAAGUACUAACUAAGGUUGUGUUGGUUCCAAAUGAAGCCAAUGAUAUAUUGGUAGCCUUGGGUUUUCUGUCUUUUUACUGAAAUAGAAUAGAAGGCUGUGAUACAGAUUUUCUCCACAGCAGGUCUUAGAAGGAUUUUUAUUUCUCAUCCUCCAUGCUUCCUUAUUUCAUCCCUUCUUAUGUAAAUAGCAGAUGGAAAAGCGAAAACAUUCUUGGUAGAGGGAAAUGCGAGAACAAAGGUAGGACUGAGCUUCAAAGAGGAAGAAGACUGUGUGACCGGAACAGACUAUUUUUGCUGAGCAGUUUGAAGACAAGUUUAGAGAGGCGAGGUAUAGCAAAAAGGCAUUGAAAAAUCAAAGGCAAUCUGCUUAUAAAUAAGAACCAACAGAAAACAAAGUCCUAGCAGAGGUGUGGUAGUGAGCACCACAGAUGGAAGGGGGAAGCAUUUUUGGUAGAAGGAGCAGUACGUGGAAACAUGGGUAUAUACCUGCUGUGCUCUGUCAACAGCAAGGAGCCUUUGUAGGUAGAGUGGAGCAAGUGAGGGUGUGAGGUAGUCCUUGGGGUUAAGAGGUGAUAGGGCAGAGCAUAUAUGGUUUCUCAACCUGGGCACUGUUGAUGUUUUAGAUUAGCUGAUAUUUUAUAGGCUAAUGUGUGCAUCCCUAUUUUGUGCAAUCACUGCAGAAUGUUGGUUCCUAUGUGGUAGAUGUCAGUAGUACUUAUGUGCCUAGAUGUGAGAACUAGAAAUGGUUAUAGACAUUGCAGUGUUCCUUGGUAGGUGAGUGAGAAGGAGGGAGGUGGUGUGGUGGAGUUGCUUCUGGUUAGCAAUGCAAGCGUGAGACCCCGACUGUGAAUCCCCAUCACCCCAGUCAGCAGUAGAGACUUGCUGUGCUCACUCGCUCCAAGGCUCAGCCAGAGGCCAUCUCAAGGGAGUGAAGCAAAGACAGUUAGAGCAGAACAUUUGAUGUCCUCUGGUGUACACACGCACGAGGGGGGUGAGGGGGG